AACGAACGCUGGCGGCAUGCUUAACACAUGCAAGUCGAACGAAGGGUACUUGUACCCUUAGUGGCGAACGGGUGAGUAACGCGUGGGAAUCUGCCUCUUGGUGGGGGAUAACUAAGGGAAACUUUAGCUAAUACCGCAUACCCUUGGAAACAAGGAAAGAUUUAUCGCCAAGAGAUGAGCCCGCGUUAGAUUAGGUAGUUGGUGGGGGAAUGGCCUACCAAGCCUGUGAUCUGUAGCUGGUCUGAGAGGAUGAUCAGCCACACUGGGAUUGAGAUACGGCCCAGACUCCUACGGGAGGCAGCAGUGAGGAAUAUUGUACAAUGGGGGAAACCCUGUUCCAGCAAUGCCGCGUGAAUGAAGAAGGCCUUCGGGUUGUAAAGUUCUUUCGCUCGCGAAGAUAGUGACGGUAGCGAGAUAAGAAGCUCCGGCUAACUCUGUGCCAGCCGCCGCGGUAA
rnacentral:rRNA from 1 species